rnacentral:tRNA from 3 species
GCUGCCGUGGCUCAGUCGGUAGAGCGUCGCAUUGGUAAUGCGGAGGUCGGCGGUUCGAUUCCGCUCGGCAGCU